AUUUGUUACAAGUGACAAACCAAUGUUGAACAAUUAUAAUUAACUAAAGUCCAUAUGUUAUUUGAGUUUCCUUAGUUAUUACCUUAUAUUCUCUUUCUAUUCCAAGAUCCCAUACAGGACACUACAUGAUAUUUAGGUGUCCUAUCUCCUUGGACUCUUCUUGGCUGCGACAAUUUUUCAGAUCCCUGUUUUUGAUGACCUUGACAGUUUUGAGAAAUAUAUGUCAGGGCAGGAGAGACUGAGUGGUGCAGUUCACAGGGAUACGACUCACAAGGCAAAGAAGAUCAGAGGAUGAAUGGACAGAAAACGUCACUUGACUGGGGCCCAUUUCUACUCCCUGAGAAUGGGUCUCCAUGGCUCUGCCUCCUGUGUCAUCCUUAAUUUUCCAUAAGAAGUGGAAUGUGUUUGGACCUAAGGAGUUUU
rnacentral:lncRNA from 1 species